GGAAAUUGGGAGCAAUGGUCCUCUCUGUUCUCUCUAGCUGCGAUUAUGGUACGAAACAAAGAAAACGUCUGUGUGAUGGGAAUAAUGGAAGAUGUAGGGGGUCACGAACUCAGAAAAUUCGAUGCCAAAAUUAUAUCAUGCAAGGCCUGACAUCGAUUCAUCAUCGUGCAAAGAAAUAUUAGUUCUUCCGCAUGGCAAUGUGAAAAAGCAUAUAAGCAAUACCGGAAAGAUUAAGCUGAGUUUUCAAUGCAGUAGCGGAUUUGUUCUGCUUGGACCUAUCGAAAUUGCCUGCAAGAGGGACGGAAAUUGGUCAAAUCCUGCACCGUUUUGCAUAGCAACAAAUUGUCCUAAAUCAAGUACACCGGUGGAAUUUGGGAGAAACUGUCAUAAAUCUUGUUCCAGUUGGUGGCAUUGUAGCGGAAUAUCAGCGAACUGCCUCUGUGACGAUGAUUGCGGACGAACGUGCUUCAACCCAGGUCGCCAUUUUUUUACUAUCGUGGCUUCUGAUUUUUUUGUUUAACAAUAAUAUUAUACAAUUUUAUAGAGUCGGUGAUAUGUAGCAAACCAACAGCACCUAAAAAUGGAAACGUGCAAUAUGAGUCUCGUGGCUAUGGUCAUGUUGUUCAGUACAGCUGUAAUCAAGGAUACAGUUUAGGCGGUAGCCAAAGAAGGCGUUGUCGAUCAGAUGGAAAGUGGUCUGGAUUACCCCAAAAUGCACGGAAGUAAAUCCAAAAACCGAGAAGAUCUUGGAGUUCAAAAAUGUGGGCAAGCAGGAAAUGUCGGAAACAUAUUCAAUGACGCUCCCGGGGAUCAAGAGUUUUGGCCGGAACCAAUGCUAACACAGGUGCCUGGCCGUGGCAAGCAAUGAUCACAGCGAAUAUGAAAAAUGAUGUUAAGGAGGUGAUUUCAAGUAAUGCUUUGACUUGUGUCUCCGACAGUUGUGAUAAUGUUUCAAACAAAAAAUAUUUUGUAAUAUUCCUGAAUUCCCUCACGGCAUACUGAAAAACGAGUCUUGUACAUCUCAAAGGGGGCGGAUCAAUAUUGAACGACAAAUGGAUUUUAACUGCUGCUCACAUAUUUGAUCGUGUUAUUUUAAAGAGAUUAACAGAUGCCAAAGAUUAUCUUCUAUUGGUUGGAGUCACAUCAUUGCGCGACAUAAAUAAGAUAACAGAACAUGGGCGCUUGUAUGAACCAGGACUGUUGCAAAUUCAUCCAGAGUAUGAUCGAUAUACCAAGGAUUUUGAUUACGAUGUUGCUUUGGUUAAAGUUGGAAAGCCAUACAAAGUCGUGAAUGGGAAAUUAGUGUUUGACAGCUCUGCGCCCGUCGGAAAGAUUACGUUUUCAUUAUACAUAAAACCCGUCUGUCUACCGUGUUUGAAAAAUGCUGCAGAUUUCUCGAUCCCUGAUACAUUCAAGAGUAUGCACUGCGCGACUGCAUCUGAAUCAUCAGAUCCGGUCCGAAUUGCCAGUUUGUGAACGGGAUUCGGCCAAAU